rnacentral:rRNA from 1 species
CCUACGGGGGGCAGCAGUGGGGAAUAUUGCACAAUGGGCGCAAGCCUGAUGCAGCCAUGCCGCGUGUGUGAAGAAGGCCUUCGGGUUGUAAAGCACUUUCAGCGGGGAGGAAGGCGGUGAGGUUAAUAACCUCAUCGAUUGACGUUACCCGCAGAAGAAGCACCGGCUAACUCCGUGCCAGCAGCCGCGGUAAUACGAAGGGUGCAAGCGUUAAUCGGAAUUACUGGGCGUAAAGCGCACGCAGGCGGUCUGUCAAGUCGGAUGUGAAAUCCCCGGGCUCAACCUGGGAACUGCAUUCGAAACUGGCAGGCUAGAGUCUUGUAGAGGGGGGUAGAAUUCCCGGUGUAGCGGUGAAAUGCGUAGAGAUCUGGAGGAAUACCGGUGGCGAAGGCGGCCCCCUGGACAAAGACUGACGCUCAGGUGCGAAAGCGUGGGGAGCAAACAGGAUUAGAUACCCGAGUAGUC